rnacentral:rRNA from 1 species
UACGGAGGGUGCAAGCGUUAUCCGGAUUCACUGGGUUUAAAGGGUGCGUAGGAGGGCAGGGAAGUCAGUGGUGAAAUCUCCGAGCUUAACUCGGAAACUGCCGUUGAUACUCUCUGUCUUGAAUACCGUGGAGGUGAGCGGAAUAUGUCAUGUAGCGGUGAGAUGCUUAGAUAUGACAUAGAACACCAAUUGCGAAGGCAGCUCGCUACACGAAUAUUGACUCUGAGGCACGAAAGCGUGGGGAUCAAACAGG